rnacentral:rRNA from 1 species
GAGUUUGAUCGUGGCUCAGAACGAACGCUGGCGGCAGGCUUAACACAUGCAAGUCGAACGCUCGUAGCAAUACGGGAGUGGCAGACGGGUGAGUAACGCGUGGGAACAUGCCCUUUGGUUCGGAACAACUCCGGGAAACUGGAGCUAAAACCGGAUAAGCCCCUCGGGGGAAAGAUUUAUCGCCGAAGGAUUGGCCCGCGUCCGAUUAGCUAGUUGGUGAGGUAACGGCUCACCAAGGCGACGAUCGGUAGCUGGUCUGAGAGGAUGAUCAGCCACACUGGGACUGAGACACGGCCCAGACUCCUACGGGAGGCAGCAGUGGGGAAUAUUGGACAAUGGGGGCAACCCUGAUCCAGCAAUGCCGCGUGAGUGAUGAAGGCCUUCGGUU